CCCAGUAAAACCCCAGUAUCACACUGUGACGAAGUGCCCUUCGCCACUAGCCUCCUGCCUUCCGACUAUGGCCCAUGUGCUGAUAGCUGUAUUUUCCCCUGCAGAAAGGUUUAUUUGUGUAUUUCUGCAGGGGCGUUUGGGACUUUCAGUAUGUGAGUAGUGCUACCCCAGAUAGCUAUGCCAUGGAGCCUGUUCGUGUAACGAAAGACUAUGGAAAAGACUUUGGCUCCAUGGUGAUUGAACUGUAUGUAGGUGAUCUGAGUGCCAUUCGGUAAUAAUGUGCACUCAGAUCUAAGCUAUCUGGGGAUAUGUUGCAUGUAUAUGUUUUAUGUAGUAAUUGUAACAUUGUGUAAUUUUAUGUCUUUUUGUAACCAUGUGGAUAAUGGAGUCUUGCUUCUGUCUUGGGAGAUAAUUUGAUUACUUCCCAAUUAUCUCCAGGAUAGAGAGGAGGGAUUGUGAUGUCACUGUGGGAGUGUUUUGUUUGUAUUGUCUGUGAUUGGCUAAUAUCCAAUAUGUGUCCCAUUGUUCCAUCAGGUCCCCUAGGGGAGUGUCCACCUGGUGGACACUUGCAUAAAUACCGGGCAGGUAGUCCUCAAUAAACCAGACCUACUUGCACCUUUCUUGAAGCCUUGGCGCCUGCUUGGGCGAAGGGAUACCUACACUCUGGGGAUUGCUAUAAUCACUUACUCCCCAGAAUCAGCUCUUGUAAGAGCUUGAUUUGUUCCUGCUACGCUCUCUGGAUUUAGGAGAGGUUCACCCACUGGGAGCUGGAUCCUGGUCGAGGAUCCAGGGUGGGUGAGAGACGACGAGACCCCGGUGCAGCUGCAUCACUGGAAGUGGGGUCCACAGUGCUGAUGGUGUCGGUUGGAGUGCUUGGAGUCCACGGCAAGUGCUAGGAGCAUCGAUUGGCGGAGGUACUCAG